GCCCUUCUGUCUUCCAUUUUCAGAUGAACUCAUGGAUCGAAGUCAGACUAAUAGACCAAGGACAAACACAACUGCGGGGAUUGGCCUCUUCUCCCAGGUAAUUAGAGACAGAACAAGAAGUACUGGCUUUAAGCUGAGUCAGGGGAGGUUCAGGUUGGAUACUGGGAAACAUUUCUUCUCAGAAAUGAUAGUGAAGCAUUGGAUCAGGCUGCCCAGGAAGGUGAUGGAGUCACCAUCCCUGCAGGUGUUCAAGAAAAGCUUAAUGUUGCUCUGAGAGACACGAUUUAGUGGUGUGGUGGAGCCUAAAGAACCCAUAAGUUAUCAUUCUGUGUCAUUGCUAUCAAUACUGCUCUCUCUCUGUGCCCUAAAUGCUUCUCACAAGUAAUGACAGAGCAGCAAAAGAAUAAUUUAGUCGAAGAACCUUCUCCAUUAUCUCCAGAAAAUAUGGCACUUUUGGCACAUUUUGGAUCCACGUUCUUGCAACUGGAGCUUUGAAAUCA
rnacentral:lncRNA from 1 species